ensembl:lncRNA
CCCGACCCGGCGUGCGGUAGGCGUCGGGGCUCCGAGGUCCCCGGCGAAAGUUUGGCGGGGCGGGGCGCGCUCGCAGAGAGACAAAAGAAGCGCGGAACGGAGCGGCAACUCACCUUGGAGGGAGGGAGAGAGUGAGGGAGGCUGCAAGGGGACCUUCUGCCUCCCUCCUCCUCCUCGUCCCGUGGGCGCGGGGCCGCGCUGCCGGGGAUAGGAGCAAGACUCCAGAGCAAAGCUGUUCCUGACCCUAGGCAUCCCUACACCAGCAAGACCUUGUGCCCUGUGUCAGAUCUUCUGGGAGAGCCGGACUGCAUGGACUCAGGGCUGCAGCCUUUAAGAGGAAGAAGAUGGAUGACAGACUUCUCCCUGCUACCCCACCAGAGGCCAUGCAAGUGGAAAGAACCUUCCCCUAGCCCCAGGCUGACAGAGCUAUCAGAGGGAAUCUUUGCAAAUUCAGCACAUACCAAACAAUGGGGAUUUUCCUCUGUGUGAUGAGACAUACUCCUGAUCACAGCCCUGGCAAGUCAGUUCCAUUCUGCUGCUUUCAUUCUGGCCAGCUGGUAUCAGCCUCCUGCAUCUCCAAGUCUUAUGAGUUUGACCCUUUUCCUGUGGAAUUAGGUAUGACAAAAAUACCUGUCAUUGUGAAGGACAACAGAAUAUAACUUGUUUUUGCGAGAAAUACCAGGGUCACUCUAAGCUCAGAAAUACUGUGGCAGCUCCAGUAAAACCAGCAAAGUAAAUAUAGACACAAGAUAAACUAUCUGGUCUUCCCUUUGCCUGUGACCUCUAUUACUUUCCCUGUUUCUCUGACUAUAACCUCAGUAAGUGUAUUUUUGAUCCUUCAGUUAAUAUGAUUAUCAGGCUUCACACUGCCACUGCUCUCAAAUUUUCCAGAUGGCAUUUCAUCUGGAAAGUUACAACCCUGUUCUGCUUGUUAUUUAUUUAACAACUGUGCUUUUGACUAAUACAGAAUACUCUCAGUAACAGAUCUAUAUUAAUCAAAGUUCAGAUAUUCAGUGUUAGCAAUUUAUUUUGAUUUUGUCACCAUUUACACAAAGUUAUUUACCUACGCCUCUAGCAUUUUUCAAAGGACUCUGUUGCUUUAAUACACACUUACUAAAAUACAAACUGUACUUAAAGCCAUUCUCUGGAGGAGUCCCCGUCCUGAAUGAAGUUCUGUGGCACAACUGAACUACAUGAAAUGACAGUGGCAGUCUCCUAAGGGUGAAUUUACCUCUGUGUUAAUGAAUGAAUGGAAUAGACAUACGGAGUCUCAGUGAGAUAGUCCUUAUGCUCCCUCAGGGAAGUUGAGGUGCUACGUUGAUAAUUGAACACUGGUAAAAGACAGAGUUAGAUUAUUUUUCUUAAACCCACGAUUUUGCAGUAGGGAUUCAGUCCAUCUUCCAGUGGAAUGUCUGAAAAAGUUUCAUAGACACCAGAACUGAUAUUGCCUGUCACUAUACAAACCGAAAACCGCUUCGUCACUCUAUAAAUGGAAGCUCCAGCCACACUAUAGCAAGCACCAAUGCAAGUGAAUUUAUGCACAAAUGUAACUACCAGAUUUAAGCUAAAUUUUGAGAGACCAGAUCAAGAAGGGUGCAAGCUCCAAAGGCAACAACUUGAAACUCUAACUUAGCUCUAACCCCUUUCUUCACCUUCUUUUCUCUGCGUAGUGUCAUUUUUAACAAAAUGUGCCAAAUUACAAGUCAUAAAAGCUCAAGUAUGUAAGCUGCAAAUCUGGUGCUUUCCACAAGGCCAGAAGUGUCAUGAAAGAAAAACGCCAUCCAUAAUAUGGGACUGUUUGGAAUCAGAUUAGAGAGACCUAGAAUUCGUCAGCAACUUCUGCCCAUAAGGUCAAAUUAUGAAGUCUGUACUUACUACAUAUAAACACACUCCAUUUCCAGAUUCUGCCCCCCACAGACACAGCAUAAUCUAUGACGUCCAUCAGUCAUCAGCUAGUUUAUAUCAGACUCCUACUAUACCUACAUAAAUAUGUUGAAUAUUUGGAAUAAUACAUUCACAAAGCAAUGAUCAUAUUUAUUUAUAUUUUACAAAGAGAAAAAAAAAUGUGAGAGAGUAAAGAUAGGCUGCCUUCAUAG